AGUUGAUCAAGUUCACUUCGAACUGAUCCGUGGAAGAGGCAGGAGUGGCCCAAAGUUCUCGCGCCGUGGUGUCUUAUAUAAGUUGUAGCUAUCAGUAAUUGUGCGUGCUAUUGUGAAAAGGCGGUGUGUUCUCGUGUGUGGCUUUGUGCAAUUGAAGGUUCUUGCCAAGCCGUUCGACCGUCCGCGACAUCACAACCGAACUCCCAGUGGCCAUUUCUGACCCCACUGUCAGGCUCAGAAGUUCUCCCGGGGCACGCCGGAAGAGGGACGCUUCCGUUUUCCACGCUCCCUAGGCAGGACGAACAGCAAGCGCAUACGUUAUUUCCGUUCCCCUAGUGACGACUAGGGAAACCUCGACGCACGUGUCGCGUCGCGCGCAAAGAAAGUCUC